AAGAAGGUGAUUUGACGAGAGUAUUACGACUGACAGGGUGUGAAAGUGUGGCAGUGACCUAAAGGACAGCACAACGGCUGAACACCCAAGAAAGCAGGCAGCAGGUCAUCUUCAGUGUACCCACAACUACACCGAGUUGCUGCCAUGUGAUUUUUGCAUUGCGAGCAGUUGAACAGAUGACAGCUCACGUACGAGGAGUGACAGGCAAAAUAUUUUGUGCUCUGUGGUUUUAAGUGAUGGGAGACCAAUCCGCCAGGCUGCAACUCCGACUGUCCAGGAGCUCAGCAAUAGUCUGGUCCAGAUCUGGGAGGAGCUCCUCCAGGACGCCAUCAGUUACCUCAUCAGGAGCACGCCCCUUUGUUGUCAGGUACUCCUGGGGCCCAUACUGAGUACCAUUCUGAGUUGUUGCAAUUCAAUUUUUACAAAAUGGAUUUUGGACUGGCUUUCAUCAUUUUUUUUUACUUUGACCUUUGACCUGUCUUCAGCCCUCUGUGUGUUGAUCAUUUUUAUUUAUGGCAUCCUUUCAUUCCUAACACAUUACCCAGUCCAUGUCAGUAUAGAUAUCUAGCAUGAUUGUUUUUUUCUUAUUGACAGUUUCAGUGUCUUCCUUUUAUUUUUUUGGCUGUGUAUAUAUUUUAUAUUAGAGAGACGAAUAGACCCAAUAUUAAAAGAUAAGCCAGCCAAAUAAAUGAAGAUGUCUGCUUUAAUGUGGCUAUGGAGUGUAAGCACACGUCAAACUGCCCGUCUGCUACAGCGUCAUCAGCUGUGGCAACAACUGCUAUUAGGUCUUUAACCAGGAAUCUGUGGAAGAAGGUUUUUGUCAUUCAUAUUUGCUAGAAUUAAAAAUAUUCCCAGCACCUGAUUUUUAUUGUUGAAUAAAAAAAAACACAAAUUCAGUAUGUUAAGCUAGGCAAAUAAAAGGAAAAACUAAUGUGUGGCUAAUGUUAACUGCUAGUAUCAAAACCCUUCUUUGCUUCCAGGCUAACGUCCACGUGCCUGUCCUGGAUGCAUGUGUUGUGGUUAGCAUUGUUCUGUUCUGGGUUUGAACACCGGCUGGGACCUUUCUGUGUGGAAUCUGCAUGCUUUCCCUGUGCCUGCAUAGUUUGUCUUCCUCUCACGGGCCAUGGCGUGCAUGGGUUAGGUUAAUGGUCUGUGAAGGUUCUCAGUCA